AUUGAACGCUGGCGGCAGGCCUAACACAUGCAAGUCGAGCGGUUGAGGUAGCUUGCUACCGAUGCAGCGGCGAACGGGUGAGUAAUGCCUAGGAAUCUGCCUGGUAGUGGGGGAUAACGCUCGGAAACGGACGCUAAUACCGCAUACGUCCUACGGGAGAAAGCAGGGGGACCUUCGGGCCUUGCGCUAUCAGAUGAGCC
rnacentral:rRNA from 1 species